rnacentral:rRNA from 1 species
UACGUAGGGAGCAAGCGUUGUCCGGAAUCAUUGGGCGUAAAGGGCGCGUAGGCGGAUACUUAAGUCGGGGGUGAAAGCCCGGGGCUCAACCUCGGAAUUGCCUUCGAUACUGGGUAUCUUGAGUUCGGGAGAGGUGAGUGGAAUGCCGAGUGUAGAGGUGAAAUUCGUAGAUAUUGGGAAGAACACCAAUGGCGAAGGCAGCUCUCUGGACCGUUACUGACGCUGAGGCGCGAAAGCGUGGGGAGCAAACAGG